UUCUUAAAUCUUUUAAUGUUCUUUAUUAAUACGUAAAUAAUAAACAUGUGGGAUCCAUUGCAAUAUUUUCUAAGACAUGCAAUACAUGCACAACUACAUCGCUUUCAGAAUAGCUCCUUCUUUAUAAGAAUGGUUGCAAUCUUCUGAAUCUUGUCCUCUUUCCAAAUAAAUUCCAGUAGUAGUGGUUUGUAGGAUUUGAAUAUGGGGUAUUAUAUCUACAUUGAUUGAACUGGUAGGUAUUUUAUAUGACAUAAUUUAAAUGUUUUUGUGAUAAAUAUUAAGUCUAUUUAUACUCUGGGAAGGAGAAAGACACUCUGAGUGUAAUUUUAUAGAAUAUUCAUAAGAUGAGUUAAAUCAGAUUUUUGACAGCUCUUUUUAUGGAUUUUAUUUAAAUUACAAGUGUUUUUAACUGUUUUCCAGAUGCAAUUAUCACAGACCACAGAUUCACGUUCUUUAUAACCCGGCUGCAACCUAGAAAAUGAUGUUUCUGGCCUGGCAAGUUGGCCAUUGCCUAUAAUCCCAAUGGUUUGGAAGGCCCAGGCAGGAGGAUCACUUGAAGCCAGGAGUCGAAGACCAGGAUAGGCAACAUAGUGAGAGCCCAUCCCCCAGACUAGCAGCAUAGCACACCACUGGAAUGUUGGAAGCCCUGGAUUCUGCCCUUGCCUUACUUAUAUGCAGGCUUCAGUAAAUUGUUUAACCCCUCUGUGUAUCGUUUUCUUACUGUAAGAUGGAUGUUCCAAAGGGGUUGCUCCAUUGCCGAUGCAGAGGAUCCUGAGGUUUUAAGUCAUAAAGAGUGUGCUUCAAAAUCACCUACCGGGCUUGUUUAAAGUGCAGAUUCCUUGGCUUCAACCCACAUCCACCAAACAGAAUCACAGUAGAUGGGCUGUAAACAUUUGCUUUUUAAACAAGCUCCUCAGGACAAACUGAUGUGCCCAAAGUUUGGGAAUGAAUGCUUUUGCUUCUUUUUCAAGUUUCUCAACCCCCUAAGCUGACAGUCUUACACAAUGAACAAAGCUGGUCAAACUGGUUAAUAAAAUGUUAAAAUAUAGCAAUUAGUAAAUAACAGCUUUCCUGACACCCAACUUUCACUGUCAGUGCAAAUGCCAAAAUGACCACCUAAUCUCUCCAAGUCCUAGCCUGGGGCACUUCUACUUCCCCAUAUUCAGCAGCUGAAACAAUAACACCUGGGAGAGCAGGUGCUCAGAACUUCAUUGCAGUGCUGUAGCUGGUCUGUUUUCUGUUUGGUUAGUCAACAUGCCCCAGGGAUCGUUAGCUGUUUUUACCGUUCUCCUGGAUCCCUGUGGAUUUCUAAUGGGCAAACUUUUUAAAAGUACAAAUUCUCAGACUCUAAGAUGCUGGAGAAUCUGAUUUAGCAAGUCUGGGCAUGUUACCAUUUAUCUAUGUAGUCCCAAAAGCUUCCCAGGUGACUUUGGAGAUCACCUAGGUUUGGAAACCAAAACCUUCCUACUCAAAGUGUGGUCUGGAGACCAGCAUCACCAGCAUCAGCUGAGAGCUUGUUAGAAAUGUAGAAUCUUAGCACCUCCACCUCACUCACACUGACCAAAUCAGAAUCUGCAUUUCAAAAAGGUGUCCAAGUGAUUCAUGCACACUAACUAAUACGGUUUGGUUCUGUGUCUUCACCCAAAUCUCACCUUGAAUUGUAAUCCCCAUAAUUCCCACAUGUUAG
rnacentral:lncRNA from 1 species